GUCUCGUUAGCUCAGUAGGAUAGAGCGACUGCCUCCUAAGCAGUAGGUCGGAGGUUCGACUCCUCUACGGGACGCCA
rnacentral:tRNA from 1 species